rnacentral:rRNA from 1 species
GUGAGGAAUAUUGGACAAUGGCCGAAAGGCUGAUCCAGCCAUGCCGCGUGCGGGAAGACGGCCCUAUGGGUUGUAAACCGCUUUUGUUGGGGAGCAAUAAGGGCCACGUGUGACCCGAUGAGAGUACCCAGCGAAUAAGCAUCGGCUAACUCCGUGCCAGCAGCCGCGGUAAUACGGAGGAUGCAAGCGUUAUCCGGAUUUAUUGGGUUUAAAGGGUGCGUAGGCGGACGAUUAAGCGUGAGGUGAAAUGCUCGGGCUCAACCUGAGAACUGCCUCGCGAACUGGUCGUCUGGAAUGCUCCUGCCGUGGGAGGAAUGUGUGGUGUAGCGGUGAAAUGCAUAGAGAUCACACAGAACACCGAUUGCGAAGGCAUCUCACGAAGGGGUUAUUGACGCUGAGGCACGAAAGCGUGGGGAUCAAACAGG